rnacentral:rRNA from 1 species
CCUACGGGUGGCUGCAGUGAGGAAUAUUGGUCAAUGGCCGUAAGGCUGAACCAGCCAAGUCGCGUGAAGGAAGAAGGAUCUAUGGUUUGUAAACUUCUUUUAUAGGGGAAUAAAGGUAUCCACGUGUGGAUAUUUGCAUGUACCCUAUGAAUAAGCAUCGGCUAACUCCGUGCCAGCAGCCGCGGUAAUACGGAGGAUGCGAGGGUUAUCCGGAUUUAUUGGGUUUAAAGGGUGCGUAGGUUGUUUUUUAAGUCAGCGGUAAAAUUUCGGGGCUCAACCCCGUCCGGCCGUUGAAACUGGGGGGCUUGAGUGUGCGAGAGGAAGGCGGAAUGCGUGGUGUAGCGGUGAAAUGCAUAGAUAUCACGCAGAACCCCGAUUGCGAAGGCAGCCUGCCGGCGCAUUACUGACGCUGAGGCACGAAAGUGCGGGGAUCGAACAGGAUUAGAUACCCUAGUAGUC